rnacentral:rRNA from 1 species
GCUGGCGGCGUGCCUAACACAUGCAAGUCGAACGGUAACAGGUCUUCGGAUGCUGACGAGUGGCGCACGGGUGAGUAACGCGUGGAUAUCUGCCUAUUAGUGGGGGACAACUUUCGGAAACGGAAGCUAAUACCGCAUAAUCUCUACGGAGGAAAGCAGGGGACCUUUCGGGGCCUUGUGCUGAUAGAUGAGUCCGCGUCUGAUUAGCUAGUUGGUAGGGUAAAGGCCUACCAAGGCGAUGAUCAGUAUCUGGUUUGAGAGGAUGAUCAGACACACUGGAACUGAGACACGGUCCAGACUUCUACGGAAGGCAGCAGUGGGGAAUAUUGCACAAUGGGGGAAACCCUGAUGCAGCGACGCCGCGUGUGGGAAGAAGGCUUUAGGGUUGUAAACCACUUUCAAUUGGGAAGAAGAGAUGAGUACUAAUAUUAUUCUGAUUUGACGGUACCUUUAGAAGAAGCACCGGCUAAUUUCGUGCCAGCAGCCGCGGUAAUACGAAAGGUGCAAGCGUUGUUCGGAUUUACUGGGCGUAAAGCGAGUGUAGGUUGUUUAUUAAGUCGGAUGUGAAAUCCCAGGGCUCAACCCUGGAACUGCAUUCGAUACUGAUAGGCUAGAGUUCGGGAGGGGUAAGCGGAAUUCCGUGUGUAGCAGUGAAAUGCGUAGAUAUACGGAGGAACACCUGAGGCGAAGGCGGCUUACUGGACCGAUACUGACACUGAGACUCGAAAGCGUGGGUAGCAAACAGGAUUAGAUACCCUGGUAGUCCACGCCCUAAACGAUGUCAACUAGCCGUUGCGGGUAUCGACCCCUGCAGUGGCGAAGCUAACGCGAUAAGUUGACCGCCUGGGGAGUACGGUC